rnacentral:misc_RNA from 1 species
GAUGAAGAACGUAGCGAAAUGCGAUAAGUAAUGUGAAUUGCAGAAUUCAGUGAAUCAUCGAAUCUUUGAACGCACAUUGCGCCCCUUGGUAUUCCGAGGGGCAUGCCUGUUCGAGCGUCAUAUUAACCACUCCCGCUUGCGGGGUCUUGGGUUUCGCCUCCGGGCGGGCCUUAAAAUCAGUGGCGGUGCCGUCGGGCUCUACGCGUAGUAAUUCUUCUCGCUAUGGAGUCCUGGUGGAUGCUUGCCAUCAACCCCCAAUUUUUCUAUGGUUGACCUCGGAUCAGGUAGGGAUACCCGCUGAACUUAAGCAUAUCAAUAAGCGGAGGA